rnacentral:rRNA from 1 species
CGAGCGAACGGACGAGAAGCUUGCUUCUAUGAUGUUAGCGGCGGACGGGUGAGCAACACGUGGAUAACCUACCUAUAAGACUGGGAUAACUUCGGGAAACCGGAGCUAAUACCGGAUAAUAUUUUGAACCGCAUGGUUCAAAAGUGAAAGACGGUCUUGCUGUAACUUAUAGAUGGAUCCGCGCUGCAUUAGCUAGUUGGUAAGGUAACGGCUUACCAAGGCAACGAUGCAUAGCCGACCUGAGAGGGUGAUCGGCCACACUGGAACUGAGACACGGUCCAGACUCCUACGGGAGGCAGCAGUAGGGAAUCUUCCGCAAUGGGCGAAAGCCUGACGGAGCAACGCCGCGUGAGUGAUGAAGGUCUUCGGAUCGUAAAACUCUGUUAUUAGGGAAGAACAUAUGUGUAAGUAACUGUGCACAUCUUGACGGUACCUAAUCAGGAAGCCACGGCUAACUACGUGCCAGCAGCCGCGGUAAUACGUAGGUGGCAAGCGUUAUCCGGAAUUAUUGGGCGUAAAGCGCGCGUAGGCGGUUUUUUAAGUCUGAUGUGAAAGCCCACGGCUCAACCGUGGAGGGUCAUUGGAAACUGGAAAACUUGAGUGCAGAAGAGGAAAGUGGAAUUCCAUGUGUAGCGGUGAAAUGCGCAGAGAUAUGGAGGAACACCAGUGGCGAAGGCGACUUUCUGGUCUGUAACUGACG